rnacentral:rRNA from 1 species
AAACUUUCAACAACGGAUCUCUUGGUUCUCGCAUCGAUGAAGAACGCAGCGAAAUGCGAUACGUAAUGUGAAUUGCAGAUUUUCGUGAAUCAUUGAAUCUUUGAACGCACAUUGCGCCCUCUGGUAUUCCAGAGGGCAUGCCUGUUUGAGCGUCAUU